rfam:Pachysolen tannophilus NRRL Y-2460 unplaced genomic scaffold PACTA_scaffold_6, whole genome shotgun sequence.
GCGUGGAUAGUGUAGUGGUUUAGCAUUCUAGCCUUCCAAGCUGGGGACUCGGGUUCGAAUCCCGGUUCACGCA